rnacentral:rRNA from 1 species
GACGAACGCUGGCGGCGUGCCUAAUACAUGCAAGUAGAACGCUGAAGCUUGGUGCUUGCACCGAGCGGAUGAGUUGCGAACGGGUGAGUAACGCGUAGGUAACCUGCCUGGUAGCGGGGGAUAACUAUUGGAAACGAUAGCUAAUACCGCAUAAGAGUAGAUGUUGCAUGACAUUUGCUUAAAAGGUGCAAUUGCAUCACUACCAGAUGGACCUGCGUUGUAUUAGCUAGUUGGUGAGGUAACGGCUCACCAAGGCAACGAUCCAUAGCCGACCUGAGAGGGUGAUCGGCCACACUGGUACGAGGACACGGUCCAGACCACUACGAGAGGCAGCAGGAGGGAAUUUUUGGCAAAGGACGGAAGGCUGACCGAGCGACGCCGCGUGAGUGAAGAAUGUUGUCGGAUCGUAAAGCUCUUUUGUAAGAGAAGAACGAAUGUGAGAGUUGAAAGUGCACACUGUGACGGUACCUGACCAGAAAGGGACGGCUAACUACGUG